AGACCCAACCACUUCCACAGGACCGCCGGAAAGUCUCAUGGUCCUGUUGGGCCUGAAGCGCAAGAGCUUCCAGAAAAGAGGGAUAGUGCCCAACCACCCGGAAGAAGGUCCACUUGGGCCUCCAAUAGCUGCUGAGUGUCGCUCCUGAUCAUAUUUCAGAAUGAAAUAGAGGAUGAAUCCCUUAUUUUAGGAGAAGCCAGCUGCCAAUUGGUAAAGACACUCAAAGAGCCAGGUUGAGAGUUCCAUGUGGUGAGGAAAUUAGGCCUCUCACCAACAGCCAGGAUGAACUUGUCCAACCAUAUGAGAGAUCCACCUUGGAUAUGAAGAUUCUGUCCAGCCAAAGCCUUCAGAUGACCAGUCCUUGGAUACAACUUCAUGAAAGAUGCUGAGCCAGAACCAACAGCCAAGCCACUCCAGAUUUCCUGACCCACAGAAAUUGUGCUGUCUCCAUUUGAGGAAAGAAGGACACCGAAAACCCCAGCCAUACAUAAUGCUA